CGUUGUCUUACGUGGUUUUUACGACGAUUUAACCCUACGUGGACUUUACGACGAUUUUAUGCUACGUGGACUUUACGACGAUUUCAUGCUACGUGGACUUUACGACGAUUUCAUCCUGCGUGGACUUUACGACGAUUUGUGCUUACGUGGAAUUUACGAGUGUUAUGUUUAAAUCCCUAGAAUCAGAAACCCGAAACCCGAAACCCCAAACC
rnacentral:lncRNA from 1 species